CUUUGGCUCAGGCUUCCAGAGGAUCAGGCACAGCCUGGUGCUGGGCUCUGCUGGUGGCAGUGGCAGCAGGGCCUGAGGCAACUGCUUUCACCAUGGACUCUCCUCACGCUCAAGCUUAUUUAAAUAUGUGUCACCUAGGCUGAUCCUAAAAUUCAUUUCUCUCAAAACCACGAUCCAGGUUCAUCCUACAGAAUGUAGUCUCACUGGUUCAUAUGCCUGCACACGUUCCUGAAAUACUCAGAAAAUGAGUACGGGUUGUAUGCUGGGAGCAGUAUCUCUGCAGGAACUGUCUCUUUCAUCCCUAAUAUCCAUCACCCACCUAGAGAUGCCGAGGAAGGGAUGGAGCCUCCUGAGCCUCUGUGUCCUAGCAACUUUUCAUUGCCUGAACAUCCUCAGGAUUUUUUGUAUGAAUAGAUCCUUGCAAGAUUUCUGGAUUUCAGUUGCAGAGCCUCCUAUUUCCUUUACUUCAACAAGAGAACUGGAUUAUCAGGAACCCCAACAGUAAGGGUGUACCCUACUGGCCUGAGCUGGUUCAUGAUGAUCAGUACCUGAAUCUGGACAUUCAGCCUGCUGUGGCCAAGCCCUGAAGGAUAGAAAGCUGCAGUUCUGUACCAAGACUCUGCCCAGAAGAUCUUCUACCCCAGCACAAGCAUGGAGAGCUCCAGUGCUAGUUCCAGGAAGGGGUGUGUUUUUGAGGGCAGAUGUGGUCAUCCUGAGGUUUCAAAGUCCCUUUAUGUAUUUUUAUUCAUUCCAAC